rnacentral:rRNA from 1 species
GAUGAACGCUGGCGGUCUGCUUAACACAUGCAAGUCGAACGAACUCUUCGGAGUGAGUGGCGGACGGGUGAGUAACGCGUGAGAAUCUGCCUGUGGGUCGGGGACAACCACUGGAAACGGUGGCUAAUACCGGAUGAGCCGAAAGGUAAAGAUUUAUUGCCCACGGAUGAGCUCGCGUCUGAUUAGCUAGUUGGUGGGGUAAUGGCCUACCAAGCCGACGAUCCAUAGCUGGUUUGAGAGGAUGAUCAGCCACACUGGGACUGAGACACGGCCCAGACUCCUACGGGAGGCAGCAGUGGGAAUUUUCCGCAAUGGGCGAAAGCCUGACGGAGCAAGACCGCGUGGGGGAGGAAGGUUUUUGGAUCGUAAACCCUUUGUCAAGGAAGAAGCUCUGACGGUACUUGACGAAUAAGCCUCGGCUAACUCCGUGCCAGCCGCCGCGGUAAU